rnacentral:rRNA from 1 species
ACUCCACAUACGCAUCCUUUGCUGAGGAUACGGUUAACGGAGCGAAAGCGACGUUCAACCGCAAAAGAAGCAGAGGGGGCUUAGUGGUGGGGUGACUGCGUACCUUUUGUAUAAUGGGUCAGCGACUUAUAUUCUGUAGCAAGGUUAACCGUAUAGGGGAGCCGCAGGGAAACCGAGUCUUAACCGGGCGUUAAGUUGCAGGGUAUAGACCCGAAACCCGGUGAUCUAGCCAUGGGCAGGUUGAAGGUUGGGUAACACUAACUGGAGGACCGAACCGACUAAUGUUGAAAAAUUAGCGGAUGACCUGUGGCUGGGGGUGAAAGGCCAAUCAAACCGGGAGAUAGCUGGUUCUCCCCGAAAGCUAUUUAGGUAGCGCCUCGUGAAUUCAUCUCCGGGGGUAGAGCACUGUUUCGGCUAGGGGGCCAUCCCGGCUUACCAACCCGAUGCAAACUGCGAAUACCGGAGAAUGUUAUCACGGGAGACACACGGCGGGUGCUAACGUCCGUCGUGAAGAGGGAAACAACCCAGACCGCCAGCUAAGGUCCCAAAGUCAU